ACGCGUGAGCAAUCUACCUUAGUUACAGGGAUAGCCCGAGGAAACUCGGAUUAAUACCUGAUAUUCUUUACAUUUCGCAUGAAAUCAAAAGGAAAGGUCAGCCGAACUAAGAUGAGCUCGCGUUCUAUCAGCUAGUUGGUGAGGUAAAAGCUCACCAAGGCAACGACGGAUAGCUGGUCUGAGAGGACGAUCAGCCACACUGGGACUGAGACACGGCCCAGACUCCUACGGGAGGCUGCAGCAGGGAAUAUUGCGCAAUGAGCGAAAGCUUGACGCAGCGACACCGCGUGUGGGAUGACG
rnacentral:rRNA from 1 species